GACAGCUUCGUGUGUAGUAACUUUACUGUAAGAGCACUGAACUAAACGGAGUAAUCGUGUCCGUACACUUCCGGAAGUGGUGAGGCCGUAUAUGGGAAUAUGCUGGAUACUAGUUCCGUUUACCUUUGAGGACACGUGACGUUAAGACUCAGAUCCCUUUUCAUGUCCAAGUGAAGAAACUGGGGUCCUGGUUACAAAAAGCAAGUGAAUUCAGCAUCACAGUUGAAUCUCAUAAAUACAGGAGAGCAAAGAGGCAUCAAGCGGUCCACCAG